AGUUCCUGCCGGGCAGGCUGGGUAGCCGGACUCCCAGCUGCGCCGUCUUCACGGAAGCGGUGCUGAUGCGGGACCUGGGGGACUGCGGUGCUGGGGACUGGCCAGUCCUACCGGGGGCGGGGCUUGUGGAAGACUGGGCGGGAUUUUGAAGACCUAGGUCUUGUGGAUGGUGAACUCACUUGGGGCGGGGAGGGAGGUGGGGCUACCCUGGGGUCUUGGGCAAAGUCCUCGCCUGGCCGGCUUCGCUACCCUUGUGCUUGCGUUGCCCACAAGCUUGUAGUCAGAAGAACUCGCCUGGGAGGGAUCGCUCCUGGGAGAUCCGAACGCGGGAGGGCCUGGAGCGCGGCGGCAGCUGGAUAGCAUUCGGGCCCAUCCGAAUAAGCGCUACUUGAGAGGCUGAGGCAGAAGGAUCGCUUGAGACCAGGAGUUUGAGGGUGCAGUGAACUAUGAUGGCGCCACCACACUCCAGCCUGGGAGACAGAGUGAGACCCUGUCUCUAAAAGAAAAAAGAAAAUUCAAGAUACAGAGCCAGACAGGAGCCUGGAUGGCCAUCUUUCUUCUGAUAGCAAUAAGCUGGAUGCUGGGAUAGAAGCCUGAUACCUCCUCCAACCCUAGUCCUUGGCCUCUAGUUUACUCGCCUGAGGCAAGGGUAGAGUGGAGGAAGAUUUAGGGAAAGCAAGUAGUCCGUUUUAUUGUUACGGACCAGAGAGGUUGGGGGUGCAGAUGAAACCAACAUCUGGUUGGCCGGGCACGGUGGCUCACACCUGUAAUCCCAGCACUUUGGGAGGCCGAGGCGGGCGGAUCAUGAAGUCAGGAGAUCGAGACCAUCCUAGCUAACACGGUGAAACCCCGUCUCUACUAAAAACACAAAAAAUUUGCCGGGCGUGGUGGCGGGAGCCUGUAGUCUCAGUUACUCAGGAGGCUGAGACAGGAGAAUGGCAUGAACCCGGGAGGCAGAGGUUGCAGUGAGCCGAGAUCGCGCCACUGCACUCCAGCCUGGGUGACAGAGCGAGACUCCAUCUCAAAAAAAAUAAAUAAAUAAAAAUAAAAAAAAUAAAAAAUAAAAAAUUCAUUUGCA